rnacentral:rRNA from 1 species
GACGAACGCUGGCGGCGUGCUUAACACAUGCAAGUCGAACGGUGAAAGCGGAGCUUGCUCCGCUGGAUCAGUGGCGAACGGGUGAGUAACACGUGGGCAACCUGCCCCUCACUUCGGGAUAACUCCGGGAAACCGGGGCUAAUACCGGAUAUGACCUCCUUGGGCAUCCUUGGAGGUGGAAAGUUUUUCGGUGAGGGAUGGGCCCGCGGCCUAUCAGCUUGUUGGCGAGGUAGUGGCUCACCAAGGCGACGACGGGUAGCCGGCCUGCGAGGGCGACCGGCCACACUGGGACUGAGACACGGCCCAGACUCCUACGGGAGGCAGCAGUGGGGAAUAUUGCGCAAUGGGCGAAAGCCUGACGCAGCAACGCCGCGUGCGGGAUGACGGCCUUCGGGUUGUAAACCGCUUUCAGCAGGGAAGAAGCCGCAAGGUGACGGUACCUGCAGAAGAAGCACCGGCUAACUACGUGCCAGCCGCCGCAGUAA